GAUCGCACUGGUGGCCUUAGUGGUUAGAACGUCCGCCUAGGAUGCGGGAAGUCACGGGUUUAAACACCGGCCGAGUCA